GUGCACCUAUCUUUGGGCAGUUUUGUCCAUUCCUCUUUGCAGCACCUCUCAAGCUCCAUCAGGUUGGAUUGGGAGCGUCGGUGUACAGCCAAUUUCAGAUCUCUCUAAAGAUGUUGAGUCGGAUUCAGGUCUGGGCUCUGGCUGGGCCACUCAAGGACAUUCACAAAGUUGUCCUAAAGCCACUGCUUUGAUAUCUUGGCUGUGUGCUUAGGGUC